rnacentral:other from 1 species
CGGAACCUGCUGUGUGCGUGAGGGGCUUUUUAAAACCCACAUCUUUAAUAAGGGAUGCUGAACUUCUGCUGCGAAUUGCAGGCCUCCCGCAGCGGCGUUUUUGACCGUUCGCGGACGUUGGAAGCAGAGAAACAGCAGAGAGGCAACCCACCUGCAACAACGUGCAGGUUCUUACAAAGCUCCCACGGCAAUAGCGGGCUCGAC